AUGCCAUUUGAAGUGAAAUUUUUAGUGCAGAGGUAAAAUGGUAAUUUUAAAACUUUUUCAAAAUCACUAUUUUAUUGUAAAAAUUAUUAAUUAAUAUAAUUAAUUAAUAUAUAUUUAUCCUACAUUAGGAUCUAAAUAUGAUAUACAGCAUACAUGCAUUUAAAUUUGAAAUUUAAAUUUGAAUAGUAAAUAAUUUACUGUUAUGUAUUCAGAACACAAU
rnacentral:lncRNA from 1 species